ACUCCUACGGGAGGCAGCAGUGGGAAUAUUGGACAAUGGGCGAAAGCCUGAUCCAGCCAUGCCGCGUGUGUGAAGAAGGCCUUCGGGUUGUAAAGCACUUUCAGUGAGGAAGAAAGCCUUGAGGUUAAUACCCUGAGGGAGGACAUCACUCACAGAAGAAGCACCGGCUAACUCCGUGCCAGCAGCCGCGGUAAUACGGAGGGUGCGAGCGUUAAUCGGAAUUACUGGGCGUAAAGCGCGCGUAGGCGGCUUGAUAAGCCGGUUGUGAAAGCCC
rnacentral:rRNA from 1 species